rnacentral:rRNA from 1 species
CCCGCAACGAGCGCAACCCUUAUCCUUUGUUGCCAGCGAGUCAUGUCGGGAACUCAAAGGAGACUGCCGGUGAUAAACCGGAGGAAGGUGGGGAUGACGUCAAGUCAUCAUGGCCCUUACUAGUAGGGCUACACACGUGCUACUAUGGCAUAUACCAAGAGAAGCGAACUCGCGAGAGCAAGCGGACCUCAUAAAGUAUGUCGUAUUCCGGAUUGGAGUCUGCAACUCGACUCCAUGAAGUUUGAAUCGCUGUAAUCGUAGAUCAGAAUGCUACGGUGAACACUU